rnacentral:lncRNA from 1 species
CAGAAAUCUACUUUUUCCAAGAUGGCCUCUUCAAAAAAGUGUGCUGGGAAAACUGGAAAUCCAUAUGUAGUGGAAAAAAAUUAUAAUCAUUAUCUCUCACUCUGCACAAAAUUGAAUUCAAAGCAGAUAAAAGACCUAGAAACCCUAUACCUACUAGAAGAAAAUGUAGGCCCACACUCUUAACAUGUCAGCUUAGGAACAAAAUUCCUCAACAAGACUCCUAAAGCCCAAGAAGUAAAAUUAAGAAUCAAUAAACGGGAUGUUAUCAAACUAGAAGCUUAUUCACAGCAAAGGAAAUAAUCAAGAAUAUGAAGAGAAAGCCUACAGAAUGGGAGAAAAUUUUUGCCACCUGCAUUUCAGAUAGGUCAUUGAUUUCCAGGAUGUACAAAGAACUCAAGCAAAUUAACACCAAAAAAACAAAUAACCCAAUCAAUAAAUUGGCAAAGGAAUUAAAGAAGCACUUCACAGAAGAAAUACAAAUAUUCAACAAAUAUAUGAGAAAUGGUGAACAAGCACUUCAUGGAAGAAGAAAUUCAAAUAUUCAACAAAUAUAUGAGAAAUGGUCAACACCUUGAGCAAUUAGAGAAGGGCAAAUUAAAACUACACUGAGAUUUCAUUUCACUUUAAUCAGAAUGGCAACAAUCAAAUGUUGGUGAGGAUAUGGGGAAAAGAGUACACUCAUACAUUUCUGGUGGAAUUGUAAAUUGGUGUAGUCACUCUGGAAAGGAGUAGGAGAUUCCUUAGAAAACUUGGAAUGGAAAUAUCAUUUGACCCAAUAUCUUAGUCCCUGGUUUAUACCCAAAGCCACAUCAAUGUUUAUAGCAGCUCAAUUCAAAGUAGCUAAACUAUGGAACCAACUUGAGUGCCCUUCAACAUAUAAACUGGUAAAGAAAAUGUGGUCUAUGUACAUAAUGGAAUAUUACUCAACCAUACAAAUGAAUGACUUUAUAACUUUUGCCAAGCAAUGGAUGGAUAUGGAGAGUAUUAUGCUAUGUGAAAUAAGCUAAUCCCCCCAAAUCAAAAGUCAAAUGU